AGUACCUGGAUGCCCGCCAGAAACCCCACGCACCCUCCUUGGCAUGGGGAUUACCCAACACCACACCAGGGUGUAUCACGCCGGCUUUUCGCUUCCAUUGCACCACCCAAGAUGGCAUCAGACCCAGACCCCAGAGAAAGUUGGGAUCCAUUUUAAGAACAGGAACGUAUUUCCUUCCCAUCUCGACAAAGGCGAUGCGUGACGGCCAGGCUCAGGCCGGUCACCGCGCCGUUUCCGCAAAGCUGCCCAAAACAACGCAAUGUUUCAAUCGACGUCGUGGCACCGGGAAAUAAGACCUGUAAGCCGAGUCGCUCAAAAACAACGCCCCAGAGCUGAAACCCAGUUAAAUAAAUUUUAAUUGAUUGAU